rnacentral:lncRNA from 1 species
CUGGGAUUACAGGCUUGAGCCACCGCACCCGGCAGCAGAAUCUUUUCUUUGUCGCGAGGAGCCAAGAUGGCCGAAUAGGAACAGCUCCGGACUACAGCUCCCAGCGUGAGCGACGCAGAAGACGGGUGAUUUCUGCAUUUCCAUCUGAGGUACCGGGUUCAUCUCACUAGGGAGUGCCAGACAGUGGGCGCAGGUUUGAUCUCAGUUACUCCCUUACUUGAAGAAGGCUUCGAUGAUUCCUCAUGGAGAAAUCCCAGAUACUUCUGCACAUGAUUCAGAGGUCCCUUACAACUGGCUUCAGCCUGCCUUCCAAGCCCUGUCUCUCGCCUCUCCCUUCCUUCACACUGUGCUUCAGCGAGGUAGGAAUGCUUGUGAUUCACCUUCCAGGUCAAGAUGAUUGGCCCCUCGGCCUUCACAUAUGCUGUUCCCUCUGCUGUUCCCCAUGCUGCCCCCAGGGAGCUGCCCAUCACCCGCCAGGACCUUCCUGCCCUGGGUGCACCCAUAGUGCUUUGUGCCUUUCUCUUUCUUGCCACUUGCCACAUUUUACUGUAGUUAUUUGUUUAUAAUUACAAAUAUAAACCUGCUACUCUAGGAGUAAGCUCUUUGAGGGACCUGUGUCUCCCUGGACCUACGACAGUCAGUGCUUGUGACACUAUGGGAAUAGGCGCCUCAUAGGUGUUCCAUGAAUGAAUGGAGGUGGCUUCAGAUUCCAGCUUUCUUUUUACUAAGCUGCUCUAUCCCUUUCAGAUUUCUUUUUUUUUUUUUACAGCUGCAAAUUUUUAUCUAUUCUUUGCCUCUCUGCCCAGUAGCAAUUAACCAGGUUGUAGCAGAUCUAGAGUUUCCAGCUCAGCCCGGAUUGUGUUUCCUUGCUCUUAGCAGCUCAGGGGAAUCUUUUUUCACUUCACGAAGGAUGCAUCUGAGAUUCAGAGCAGGUUCAGUGACCCUUUUAUUAAUUCUUUGUCUGCUCCGACACGCACAGUCUGU